UGAGAAAGACCUUGACGGUGUCUCCCU
rnacentral:piRNA from 1 species